rnacentral:rRNA from 1 species
GACGAACGCUGGCGGCGUGCCUAAUACAUGCAAGUAGAACGCUGAAGGCGGAGCUUGCUCUUCUAGAUGAGUUGCGAACGGGUGAGUAACGCGUAGGUAACCUGCCCGGUAGCGGGGGAUAACUAUUGGAAACGAUAGCUAAUACCGCAUAAGAGUAGAUGUUGCAUGACAUUUACUUAAAAGGUGCAAUUGCAUCACUACCAGCUGGACCUGCGUUGUAUUAGCUAGUGGGUGGGGUACCGGCGUACCAAGGCGACGAUACAUAGCCGACCUGAGAGGGUGAUCGGCCACACUGGGACUGAGACACGGCCCAGACGCCUACGGGAGGGAGCAGGAGGGAAUCGGCGGCAAUGGGCGGAAGUCUGACCGAGCAACGCCGCGGGAGGGAAGAAGGUUGUCGGAUCGGAAAGCUCUGUUGUAAGAGAAGAACGAGUGUGAGGGUGGAAAGUUCACACUGUGACGGUACCUUACCAGAAAGGAACGGCUAACUACGUG